rnacentral:rRNA from 1 species
AUGAUGCACCCGCUUGCCCUGUCCUCCAGCUCGCUCCUCCGCCUCAUCAAGUCGCUCUCGCCGGCGGCGCCGGGGGCGCUCCUGUCGGCCGCCGCCAUCCACUGCCUCCUCCUCAAGCCGGGGCUCCUCCACGCCGGGGCGCACCUCCCCACGGCCCUGCUCACGGCUUACGCCGCGCUCGGCCGCCCGGCCCACGCGCGGGCUCUGUUCGAUGAAAUGCCCGACCAGGGCCUCGUCGCGCGCACCGCCAUGGCGCGGGCGCACGCGGCGACCGGGCAGCCGGCCCAGGCCCUCCGGGUGUUCCGGGGCAUGCUCGCGGACGGCCUCGCCCCGGACAACGUUGCCCUGGCCGUCGCGCUGGCCGCGUGCCACUCUCGCACGCUGGCCGCGGGAAGGAUGGUCCAUGCUUUCGUCGUCGUCAGCGGCAUCGAGCCGGACAUGUUCGUCUCUACCCAGCUUGUGAGAGUCUACGGGGAGCGCGAGGAGCUCGCGGUCUCCAGGAGGGUGUUCGACGACAUGCCGGCGAAGAGUGCCGUCGCCUGGAACACCAUGGUGCAUCAGUAUGUCAGGAAUAGACAUGUGGAGGCUGCGUACCAGCUCUUUCUUGCCAUGCCGAGGAGGGAUGUGGUGUCGUGGAACACGGUGAUAGCAGGGUAUUGCCUGGUCGGCCGGUGCAGGGAGGCGCUAGGCUUGUUCCGCCAGAUGGUGUCUCCGUCCUCAUGCCCGGUGCACCCGAAUGGGCCUACAAUGUCCACUGUCCUUGGUGCAUGUGGAGCUGCAGGGUGUUUGGAGACUGGGAUUUGGGUCCAUGCGUAUAUUGACAAGAAUCGGAUGAAUCACAAUGGCACACUGGAUAGAUGCUUGAUAGACAUGUACGCCAAAUGUGGAAGCAUUGACACGGCCUUGCAGGUGUUUGAGAAGGCACCUGGGAAGAGGGACCUCUACUCAUGGACAACAGUGAUUUGUGGACUAGCGAUGCAUGGUCGUGCCGCUGAUGCCUUGCGGAUGUUUCACAUGAUGCAAGAUGGUGGUAUGCGCCCUGAUGAUGUUACUCUCGUCGGGGUCCUGAAUGCGUGUGCACAUGGAGGACUAGUGGACCAAGGCCUUGACUACUUCUACUCCAUGCAGGAGAAAUAUGGAAUCACACCCAAGAUUGAACACUAUGGCUGCAUGGUCGAUCUUCUCGGCCGCGUCAGGCGAUUGGCAGAGGCAUAUAGGAUGAUAAAGACAAUGCCAAUGAAACCUAACAUGGUGAUAUGGGGAGCCUUCCUGAGCGCAUGCAAAGUCCAUGGCAGCUUGGAGCUUGGCGAGAUUGCGGCGGCGGAAGUUACCAGGUUGGAUCCGGAUGACCCUUGGGCAAGGGUGAUGAUGUCCAGCAUGUACGCAAAAGCCCAGAACUGGAGCGGCCUCGCCAGGGAGAGGAGGGAAAUGAACAGCCUGCGGAUGAAGAAAACUCCAGGGUGCAGCUCGGUCGAGCUUGACGGUGAGGUGCAUGAGUUUGUGGCCGGUGGCAGCCAGCAUCCUCUGCAUGCUGAGAUUUGUACUGUGCUGGAGUGUGUUGAGGCGCAGUCACAUACAGGUUGA